rnacentral:rRNA from 1 species
AUUGAACGCUGGCGGCAGGCCUAACACAUGCAAGUCGAACGAGUGGCGGACGGGUGAGUAAUGUCUGGGAAACUGCCUGAUGGAGGGGGAUAACUACUGGAAACGGUAGCUAAUACCGCAUACCAUAGGAUCUGCCCAGAUGGGAUUAGCUAGUAGGUGGGGUAAAGGCUCACCUAGGCGACGAUCCCUAGCUGGUCUGCGAGGAUGACGAGCAACACUGGAAGUGAGACAGGGUCUAUACACCUACGGGAGGCAGUAGUGGUGAAUAUUGCACAAGGGGGGCAAGCCUGAUGCAGCCAGGACGCUUGUAGGAAGAAGGCCUUCGGGUUGUAAAGUACUUUCAGCGGUGAGGCGUUACCCGCAGAAGAAGCACCGUCUAACUCCGUGCCAGCCGCCGCGGUAAUUC